rnacentral:rRNA from 1 species
AGUUUGAUCAUGGCUCAGAACGAACGCUGGCGGCGGGGUUUAGGCAUGCAAGUCGCGCGAGAAAGCCGCAAGGUGAGUACAGCGGCGUAAGGGUGAGUAAUGGGUAGUCAACGUACCCUGUAGACGCGGAUAAUACUCCGAAAGGGGUGGUAAUACGCGAUGAGACCACGGGCGGUUCGCCGCCUGAGGUCAAAGGUCAGGGAUCCUUCGGGACCUGGCGCUGCGGGAGCGGACGACCUCCGAUUAGCUAGUUGGCGGGGUAACGGCCCACCAAGGCGAUGAUCGGUAGCCGGGCUGAGAGGCUGUCCGGCCACACGGGCACUGAGAUACUGGCCCGACUCCUACGGGAGGCUGCAGUCGCGAAUCUUUCACAAUGGGCGCAAGCCUGAUGAAGCCACGCCGUGUGCGGGAUGAAGGCCCUUUGGGUUGUAAACCGCUGUCAGGAGAGGGGAACCGCGUCGCAUGAAUAGUGCGGCGUCUGACUGCUCUCCAAAGGAAGCCCCGGCAAAACAUGUGCCAGCAGCCGCGGUAAUACAUGUGGGGCAAGCGUUGUUUGGAAUUACUGGGCAUAAAGGGUGCGUAGGCGGUUUGUUAAGUCGCAGGUGAAAGUUUUCGGCCCAACCG